GGUUACUGCUAUCGGUGUUCGCUUAAGCCAUGCGAGUCAUAUGUUCUUCGGAACAUGGCGUACUGCUCAGUAACACGUGGAUAACCUGCCCUUGGGUCCGGCAUAACCCCGGGAAACUGGGGAUAAUUCCGGAUAACGCACAUAUGCUGGAAUGCUUUAUGCGUCAAAUGGAUUCGUCCGCCCAAGGAUGGGUCUGCGGCCUAUCAGGUAGUAGUGGGUGUAAUGUACCUACUAGCCUACGACGGGUACGGGUUGUGAGAGCAAGAGCCCGGAGAUGGAUUCUGAGACAUGAAUCCAGGCCCUACGGGGCGCAGCAGGCGCGAAAACUUUACAAUGCGGGAAACCGUGAUAAGGGGACACCGAGUGCCAGCAUCAUAUGCUGGCUGUCCGGGUGUGUAAAAUACACCUGUUAGCAAGGGCCGGGCAAGACCGGUGCCAGCCGCCGCGGUAACACCGGCGGCCCGAGUGGUGAUCGUGAUUAUUGGGUCUAAAGGGUCCGUAGCCGGUUUGGUCAGUCCUCCGGGAAAUCUGACGGCUUAACCGUUAGGCUUUCGGGGGAUACUGCCAGACUUGGAACCGGGAGAGGUAAGAGGUACUACAGGGGUAGGAGUGAAAUCUUGUAAUCCCUGUGGGACCACCUGUGGCGAAGGCGUCUUACCAGAACGGGUUCGACGGUGAGGGACGAAAGCUGGGGGCACGAACCGGAUUAGAUACCCGGGUAGUCCCAGCCGUAAACGAUGCUCGCUAGGUGUCAGGCAUGGCGCGACCGUGUCUGGUGCCGCAGGGAAGCCGUGAAGCGAGCCACCUGGGAAGUACGGCCGCAAGGCUGAAACUUAA
rnacentral:rRNA from 1 species